CCUACGGGUGGCAGCAGGGGGGAAGAGGGCGCAAGGGGCGAAAGCCUGACGCAGCGACGCCGCGUGAGGGAUGAAGGUCUUCGGAUCGUAAAACCCUGUCAGCAGGGAAGAAAGGUCACUGUGCUAAUCAGCAGUGAAUUGACGGUACCUGCAAAGGAAGCACCGGCUAACUCCGUGCCAGCAGCCGCGGUAAUACGGAGGGUGCGAGCGUUGAUCGGAAUUACUGGGCGUAAAGCGCUCGUAGGCGGUAUGUCAAGUCAAGGGUGAAAUCCCCGCGCUCAACGUGGGAACUGCCUUUGAAACUGGCAAACGUGAGUGUGUGAGAGGAGAGUGGAAUUCCAGGUGUAGGAGUGAAAUCCGUAGAUAUCUGGAGGAACAUCAGUGGCGAAGGCGACUAUCUGGCACAUAACUGACGCUGAGGAGCGAAAGCGUGGGUAGCAAACAGGAUUAGAUACCCGGGUAGUC
rnacentral:rRNA from 1 species